AACGAACGCUGGCGGCAUGCCUAACACAUGCAAGUCGAACGAGACCUUCGGGUCUAGUGGCGCACGGGUGCGUAACGCGUGGGAACCUGCCCUUAGGUUCGGAAUAACUCCCCGAAAGGGGUGCUAAUACCGGAUAAUGUCUUCGGACCAAAGAUUUAUCGCCUUUGGAUGGGCCCGCGUUGGAUUAGCUAGUUGGUAGGGUAAAAGGCUACCAAGGCGACGAUCCAUAGCUGGUCUGAGAGGAUGAUCAGCCACACUGGGACUGAGACACGGCCCAGACUCCUACGGGAGGCAGCAGUGGGGAAUAUUGGACAAUGGGCGAAAGCCUGAUCCAGCAAUGCCGCGUGAGUGAUGAAGGCCUUAGGGUUGUAAAGCUCUUUUACCCGGGAUGAUAAUGACAGUACCGGGAGAAUAAGCUCCGGCUAACUCCGUG
rnacentral:rRNA from 1 species